rnacentral:rRNA from 1 species
CUACGGGGGGCUGCAGUGGGGAAUAUUGCACAAUGGACGAAAGUCUGAUGCAGCAACGCCGCGUGGAGGAUGACACAUUUCGGUGCGUAAACUCCUUUUAUAAGAGAAGAUAAUGACGGUAUCUUAUGAAUAAGCUCCGGCUAACUCCGUGCCGGCAGCCGCGGUAAUACGGGGGGAGCAAGCGUUACUCGGAAUUACUGGGCGUAAAGCGCAUGUAGGCGGACUUGUAAGUUGGAAGUGAAAUCCUAUGGCUUAACCAUAGAACUGCUUCCAAAACUACUUGUCUAGAAUGUGGGAGAGGUAGAUGGAAUUUCUGGUGUAGGGGUAAAAUCCGUAGAGAUCAGAAGGAAUACCAAUUGCGAAGGCGAUCUACUGGAACAAUAUUGACGCUGAGAUGCGAAAGCGUGGGGAGCAAACAGGAUUAGAUACCCCUGUAGUC